CGUGUAGGCGGUGCGGUAAGUCGAGUGUGAAAUCCCCAGGCUCAACCUGGGGCGGUCGCUCGAGACUGCCGUGCUCGAGUGUGGGAGAGGGAAGUGGAAUUCCCGGUGCAGCGGUGAAAUGCGUAGAUAUCGGGAGGAACACCUGCGGCGAAGGCGGCUUCCUGGACCACAACUGACGCUGAGGCGCGAAAGCUAGGGGAGCAAACAGGAUUAGAUACCCUGGUAGUCCUAGCCCUAAACGAUGAGCACUGGGUGUUGCCCUUCACCGGGCAGUGCCGAAGCUAACGCAUUAAGUGCUCCGCCUGGGGAGUACGGUCGCAAGGCUGAA
rnacentral:rRNA from 1 species